UACAUGGGGUGCAAACGUUGCUCGGAAUUAUUGGGCGUAAAGCGCACGUAGGCGGUUCGUUAAGUCGGAUGUGAAAGCCCUCGGCUCAACUGAGGAAGUGCACCCGAAACUGGCGAGCUUGAGUACGAAAGAGGAUCGCGGAAUUCCCGGUGUAGAGGUGAAAUUCGUAGAUAUCGGGAGGAACACCGGUGGCGAAGGCGGCGAUCUGGGUCGAUACUGACGCUGAGGUGCGAAAGCGUGGGGAUCAAACAGG
rnacentral:rRNA from 1 species